GAUGAACGCUGGCGGCGUGCUUAACACAUGCAAGUCGAACGGAAAGGCCCCUUUGGGGGUACUCGAGUGGUGAACGGGUAAGUAACACGUGAGUAACCUGCCCUUGACUUCGGGAUAACUUCAGGAAACUGGGGCUAAUACUGGAUAGGAAUCCUUGCUGCAUGGGGUGGGUUGGAAAGUUUCGGCGGUUUUGGAUGGACUUGCGGCUUAUCUGCUUGUUGGUGGGGUAGUUGCUUACCAAGGCUUUUACGGGUAGCAGGCCUGUGAGGGCGACCGGCCACAGUGGGACUGAGAUACGGCCCAGACUCCGACGGGAGGCAGCAGUGGGGAAUAUUGCACAAUGGGCGGAAGCCUGAUGCAGCAACGCCGCGUGCGGGAUGACUGCCUUCGGGUUGUAAACCGCUUUCAGCAGGGGCGAAGCUUGUGGUGACGGUACCUGCAGAAGAAGCACCGGCUAACUACGUG
rnacentral:rRNA from 1 species